UUCAAUUCCCUACACACCAGCGAGAUCACACUGGGUAGAGGCUGAGAACCUGCUCUGACUGCGGCAAGGCGUUCAUUCAGUCAUCCAGCUGCAGAUAUAUCAGCAAACUCAGACUGUUCCCCUGAGCCGAAUGAGAAGGCAUUCUGUACCAUAUCCUAUGUGCAAACACACCGGUGUCCAGUCGGGGGUUGUUUUGACCCAGCCAGAGGCAGAGACUGGCCGUCCCGCAGGCAGCCUGAAACUGACCUGUAAAUCCAGCGGGUUCGAUCUUAGCAGCUACGCCAUGCACAGGGUCCGACAGGUUCCCGGACAGGGUCUGGAGUGGCUGCUGUACUACUAUAGUUCAUCCAGCAGUAACUAUGCACCAGCGAUUAAGGGUCGAUUUACUGCGUCCAAAGACACUUCAAACAAAAUUUUCGCGUUGGACAUGGAGAACCUGAAGAUCGAAGACACCGCCAUCUUUUACUGUGCAGGAGAGCCAAACCAAACUCAACACAGAAUCUGA